UAAGUUUUUGAAAAAGUCGAAAAUUCAAAGCUGGGUGGAUAGGAGAGUGAGGGUGAAUUUCAGAUGAGUUGGAAGGGUAAUUUGAUAAAGAUGUAUGCAAUUUUGGAAGAAUUAAUAAAUAUAUUAUUGUGAUGGUUUGUAUUUGCUUAGCCUAGGGAGUAGCACCAUUAGGAGGUGUAGUCUUGUUGGAGGAAGAGUGUCACUGUGGAUAUGAGCUUUAAGGCCUUCAUUCUAGCUGCCUGGAAGCCAGUAUUCUGCUCACAGCCUUCAGAUGAAGAUGUAGAACUCUCAGAUCUGCCUGCACCAUGCUUGCUUGGAUGCUAUCAUGAUUUCACCUCGAUGAUAAUGGACUAAACCUCUGAACCGAAUGGAACAUGUAUUGAAUCAAGAAGAAGAGGUUGGCAAAUACAGAAGUGGAUGCUCACAGUCAUCUAUUGAAUGGAUCACAGGGCCCCCAAUGGAGGAGCUAGAGAAAGUACCCAAGGAGCUGAAGGAGUCUUAUAGGAGGAACAACAAUAUGAACUAACCAGUACCCCCAGAGCUCGUGUCUCUAGCUGCAAAUGUAGCAGAAGAUGGCCUAGUCAGCCAUCAUUGGGAGGAGAGUCCCUUGGUCUUGCAAAGAUUCUAUACCCCAGUAUAGGGGAAUGCCAGGACCAGGAAGCAGGAGUGGAUGAGUUGGGGAGCAGGGCAGGGGGGGAGUAUAGGGGCUUUCGG
rnacentral:lncRNA from 1 species